GACAGAGGGUGCGAACGUUGUUCGGAAUUACUGGGCGUAAAGCGCAUGUAGGCGGCAGCGCAAGUCGGGCGUGAAAUCCCACGGCUCAACCGUGGAAGUGCACUCGAAACUGCGCAGCUAGAGUCCUGGAGAGGAAGGUGGAAUGCUUGGUGUAGAGGUGAAAUUCGUAGAUAUUGGGAAGAACACCGGUGGCGAAGGCGGCUCUCUGGACCGUAACUGACGCUGAGGCGCGAAAGCGUGGGGAGCAAACAGG
rnacentral:rRNA from 1 species